UACGUAGGGGGCGAGCGUUGUCCGGAAUUACUGGGCGUAAAGAGUACGUAGGCGGUUCUGUAAGCGCAUGGUGAAAGGCAACGGCUUAACCGUUGUCAGCCGUGCGAACUGCAGGACUUGAGUGCAGGAGAGGAAAGCGGAAUUCCUGGUGUAGCGGUGAAAUGCGUAGAUAUCAGGAGGAACACCGGUGGCGAAGGCGGCUUUCUGGACUGUAACUGACGCUGAGGUACGAAAGCGUGGGGAGC
rnacentral:rRNA from 1 species